GACGAACGCUGGCGGCGUGCUUAACACAUGCAAGUCGAACGGGAAGGCCCUGCUUGCAGGGUACUCGAGUGGCGAACGGGUGAGUAACACGUGGGUGAUCUGCCCUGCACUUCGGGAUAAGCCUGGGAAACUGGGUCUAAUACCGGAUAGGAGCCAUUUUUAGUGUGAUGGUUGGAAAGUUUUUUCGGUGUAGGAUGAGCUCGCGGCCUAUCAGCUUGUUGGUGGGGUAAUGGCCUACCAAGGCGGCGACGGGUAGCCGGCCUGAGAGGGUGGACGGCCACAUUGGGACUGAGAUACGGCCCAGACGCCUACGGGUGGCAGCAGUGGGGAAUAUUGCACAAUUGGCGCAAGCCUGAUGCAGCGACGCCGCGUGGGGGAUGACGGCCUUCGGGUUGUAAACUCCUUUCGCUAGGGACGAAGCUUUUUGUGACGGUACCUAGAGAAGAAGCACCGGCUAACUACGUG
rnacentral:rRNA from 1 species